GUAGAAGCACUAAACCAUUUGUGC
rnacentral:siRNA from 1 species